rnacentral:rRNA from 1 species
GAUGAACGCUGGCGGCGUGCCUAAUACAUGCCAGUCGAGCGAACAGACGAGGAGCUUGCUCCUCUGACGUUAGCGGCGGACGGGUGAGUAACACGUGGAUGACCUACCUAUAAGACUGGGAUAACUUCGGGAAACCGGAGCUAAUACCGGAUAAUAUAUUGAACCGCAUGGUUCAAUAGUGAAAGACGGUUUUGCUGUCACUUAUAGAUGGAUCCGCGCCGCAUUAGCUAGUUGGUAAGGUAACGGCUUACCAAGGCAACGAUGCGUAGCCGACCUGAGAGGGUGAUCGGCCACACUGGAACUGAGACACGGUCCAGACUCCUACGGGAGGCAGCAGUAGGGAAUCUUCCGCAAUGGGCGAAAGCCUGACGGAGCAACGCCGCGUGAGUGAUGAAGGUCUUCGGAUCGUAAAACUCCGUUAUUAGGGAAGAACAAAUGUGUAAGUAACUAUGCACGUCUUGACGGUACCUAAUCAGAAAGCCACGGCUAACUACGUG